CCUACGGGAGGCAGCAGUGGGGAAUCUUGCGCAAUGGGCGAAAGCCUGACGCAGCAACGCCGCGUGCGGGAAGAAGGCUUUCGGGCUGUAAACCGCUUUCAGCAGGAACGAAAAUGACGGUACCUGCAGAAGAAGGAGCGGCCAACUAUGUGCCAGCAGCCGCGGUGAUACAUAGGCUUCAAGCGUUGUCCGGGAUUUAUUGGGCGUAAAGAGUUCGUAGGCGGUCGAGUAAGUCGGGUGUGAAAAUUCUGGGCUCAACCCAGAGAACGCCGACCCGAUACUGCUUAACUUGAGUUCGAUAGGGGAGUGGGGAAUUCCUAGUGUAGCGGUGAAAUGGCGCAGAUAUUAGGAGGAACACCGGUAGGCGAAGGCGCCACUCUGGAUCGAUACUGACGCUGAGGACCGAAAGCAUGGGUAGCAAACAGGAUUAGAUACCCUGGUAGUCCGAUGCCGUAAACGGUGGGCACUAGGUGUGGGAUUCUAUUAACGAAUUCCGCGCCGUGCUAACGGCAUUAAGUGCCCCGCUGGGGAAUCGGUCGCAAGCAAACUUAAGGAAUUGACGGCNGAGAGUGCGAGACGACGACGAGGAGAG
rnacentral:rRNA from 1 species